GCUCGUCCUUUUAGCCUUCAAGAGGUUUACUGAGGUGACAGGAGGAGAUCCAACUGAUGGAGCAGCCUUGAGGAACUCUCAGUAUAUAUAUGGCAGAACCGUCGGCUUACAGUCAGUUCUCUCACAUUCUGCAAUAAUGGAGUGGCGUGUGCUCAUCGUCUUGGUGCUCAUGGCUGUGUUGGCCGCCUAUGUUGGCGCCGAGGCCAUACGUCCUGGCCAGGGUGGCCAUGGCAUCCGUAUUCCCGGUCCAGGCGGAGGCUUCAACGGUGGAGGAAUUCGUCAUUUUGGCAAGUGAGGCGCACAAGCUGCCAUCCUCAAGGAUUACGCUUCAUGGCCACUAUGAAGAUUUUCGACUUUACCAACGCCGUUGAAGAUGCCUUUAUGCCUUUGUCUUUCCCACUCAAGGAAUUUUUAGAUUAUUCUUAAUCACAGAAAUUAUAUCUAUUGUAAAAUCUAUUAUAAUAUACCAAUAAUAUGCUCUUCCUUAAAUAAAGCUUUUUUUUUUU